rnacentral:rRNA from 1 species
CGUAGGGUGCAAGCGUUAAUCGGAAUUACUGGGCGUAAAGCGUGCGCAGGCCGCUAUGUAAGGCAGAUGUGAAAUCCCCGGGCUUAACCUGGGAACUGCAUUUGUGACUGCAUGGCUAGAGUACGGCAGAGGGGGAUGGAAUUCCGCGUGUAGCAGUGAAAUGCGUAGAUAUGCGGAGGAACACCGAUGGCGAAGGCAAUCCCCUGGGCCUGUACUGACGCUCAUGCACGAAAGCGUGGGGAGCAAACAGGAUUAGAUACCCUGGUAGUCCACGCCCUAAACGAUGUCAACUGGUUGUUGGACGGCUUGCUGUUCAGUAACGAAGCUAACGCGUGAAGUUGACCGCCUGGGGAGUACGGCCGCAAGGUUG